GAUGAACGCUGGCGGCGUGCCUAAUACAUGCAAGUCGAGCGAACAGACGAGGAGCCUGCUCCUCUGACGUUAGCGGCGGACGGGUGAGUAACUCGUGGAUAACCUACCUAUAAGACUGGGAUAACUUCGGGAAACCGGAGCUAAUACCGGAUAAUAUAUUGAACCGCAUGGUUCAAUAGUGAAAGACGGUUUUGCUGUCACUUAUAGAUGGAUCCGCGCCGCAUUAGCUAGUUGGUAAGGUAACGGCUUACCAAGGCGACGAUGCGUAGCCGACCUGAGAGGGUGAUCGGCCACACUGGAACUGAGACACGGUCCAGACUCCUACGGGAGGCAGCAGUAGGGAAUCUUCCGCAAUGGGCGAAAGCCUGACGGAGCAACGCCGCGUGAGUGAUGAAGGUCUUCGGAUCGUAAAACUCUGUUAUUAGGGAAGAACAAAUGUGUAAGUAACUAUGCACGUCUUGACGGUACCUAAUCAGAAAGCCACGGCUAACUACGUG
rnacentral:rRNA from 1 species